AUGGAUGACGAGUACUACAUAUUUCGCGGGGAAGGAUCCGAUAAUGACACCUUGGAGGAUGACGAGGAAGCGAUCACGUCAUCUGCUAUACCUAGCAAGGUUGAUCCAUUAGACUUUGUCUACACAAACAUCCCAGACAACACACACAUCCUGAAGCUAGACACAAACUGCAAACACUGCCAGGCCAGAAAGUUUGUCUCUGAGACUGACGGUUUCUGCUGUCGCAAUGGU
rnacentral:rRNA from 1 species